AACCAUUCUCACCUGCGGCUAGACCUGCGGAGGGAUCAUUACUGAGUCACGUGCUCAAACAACCCUUCUGUGGACCUGAAAUAAAACCGUUGCCUCGGCGGGCGGUCCCCCCCAAACCAACCCCACGUGGUGGGUUAGGGGAGACCAGACAGUCCGGUAUGCUUAAGGCGUCCGGCGCCAGCCGCUGGCCCCAAACAAUUAAACUCUAGUAAUCUUUACCUUCUGAAUUUCAAUAUUUAA
rnacentral:misc_RNA from 1 species